GGGUUCUGCUUGACUCUGCAUUCUCCUACUUCCCUGCCUGCUUACUCUCUGCCAUCAUAGUUUUUUGCUUCAACCUUCAAAUUUCCCUGCUGGGAAUAAAUUAAAUUGGCAGAAGCUCAGCCUAAGUGCUUGCAACAGAAUUUGUCCCAUAUCCAUACAACUUGCUCCUCCACAACAAAUGGGAGAAUCAUCCUCUUACCUCCAGCACCUGCCUCAGGUAAAGUUUCUGAUCCAUCUACCAUGUAACUUUGACGCUGACCAAGAAUUACAGCUUCAAAGAAAUCAUUCAAGGAUCAUUAAUAUCUUGGCCAUGAAUAACUUUCAUGUGAAAGGCUCUGCAGCUAAUCUCAAGUGCAGUGAACUCUGUUUCAUUACUAUAUUUCCAAACAUUAGAGUUAUUUGGGUUGUAUAUAGGUCAGAGAAUUUACUUUUUUGUUUUCAACCUAAUAUAAAGCACUUCCAAACUUCCUGCCAUUUGCUAUUACUUUUCUCCCUCAGUGAGUGCCAAAUUAGCUCAAUUUUAGUUAAUUUGCAAGUUCUGACAAUCAAGGCUAUCCUCAGCAGCAAGCAGAAAAAUUUCUGAAUGACUAGAUACAAUUUCAAGGGACAAGAAAUUUCUCUGUCCCUGGCUCAUUGGCAAUGAGGUAUCACAGCCAGGGUUUAUUCUUCUGUGAUCGUGAUGGUAUUUGAAGAAAUCAACAAAAGAAUGUUAAUUCUGACAAUUUAUUA
rnacentral:antisense_RNA from 1 species